rnacentral:lncRNA from 1 species
GAAGAUCCGGAUAGUGCAUCCCGGCCACGGCGCGCCUGCUCUGGGCUCUCCGCGUGCCGCGUCGCUUUCUUUUCUUCCUCUGGAGCAGUUAUGGCGGCGGCGAAGACCCUGAACCCCAAGGCCAAGGUGGCCGGAGCGCAGGCGGCGCUGGCGUUCAACAUUAGCGGGGCGCGGGGUCUGCAGGACGUGCUGAGGACCAACCUGGGGCCCAAAGGGACCAUAAAGAUCAAAUUCAACACCCAACAGCUUCCUUAAUAGCAAAGGUAGCAACAGCCCAGGAUGAUAUAACUGGUGAUGGGCCUUCAUCCCAGAAUAAUCACUGAAGGAUUUGAAGCUGUGAAGGAAAAGCCCUUCAUUUUUUGGAAGAAGUCAAAGUAAGCAGAGAGAUGGACAAGGAAACACUUAAAGAUGUGGCCAGGGCAUCUCUUUGUACUAAAGUUCAUGCUGAACUUGCAGAUGUCUUAACAGAGGCUGUAGUGGGCUCCAUUUUGGCCAUUAAAAGAAAAGAUGAACCUAUUGAUCUCUUCAUGAUUUUGUGAUCAUUGACAAGAAACAUAAAUCUGAAACUGAUACAAGAGAAGUGAAUUCUGGCGUUUUUUACAAGAGUGCAGAAAGAGAAAAACUCAUAAAAGCUGAAAGAAAAUUCAUUGAAGAUAGAGUUAAAACAAAUAAUAGAACUGAAAAGGAAAGUCUGUAGUAAUUCAGAUAAAGGAUUUGUUAUUAAUCAAAAGGGAAUUGACCCCUUUUCCUUAGAUGCUCUUUCAAAGAAGGCAUAGUCGCUCUUCACAGAGCUAAAAGGAGGAAUAUGGAGAGGCUGACUCUUGCUUGUGGUGGGGUGGCCCUGAAUUCUUUUGAGGACCUAAGUCCUGACUGCUUGAGACAUGCAGGACUUGUAUAUGAGUAUACAUUGGGAGAAGUUCACCUUUAUUGAGAAGUGUAACAACCCUCGUUCUGUCACAUUAUUGAUCAAAGGACCAAAUAAGCCCACACUUAGAUCAAAGAUGCAGUAAGGGAUGGCUUGAGGGCUGUCAAAAAUGCUAUUGAUGAUGGCUGUGUGGUUCCGGUGCUGGUGCCGUGGAAGUGGCAAUGGCAGAAGCCCUGAAUAAAUAUAAGCUCAGUGUAAAGGGCAAGGCACAGCUUGGAGUCCAAGCAUUUGCUGAUGUGUUGCUCGUUAUUCCCAAGGUGAGCCCGUGGUAGCAGCAGAAGCAGGCAUUAUGGGAUAACGAUUGUGUAAAGAAACAGCUUCUUCAUUCCUGCACUGGUUGCCACCAACAUUCUCUUGGUUGAUGAGAUCAUGCGAGCUGGAAUCUUCUCUGAAAGGUUGAAUUGAAGCUUCCUCUGUAUCUGAGUCUUGAAGACUCUGCAAAGUGAUCCUGAAGAAUACAGCUGUGGAAUUUUUGUCCAAGCUUCAAAUGAGUUUCAAGGGAAUUUUCCCAUGUGAAAAAAGGAGAGAACACUGGCAUCUGUUGAAAUUCGGAAGUUCUGAAAUUAUAAUCACAGUAUUUUUUAAAAAUUGCACUGAAGUGUACACAGAUAAAGCAGGUCUUUCACCCAGUGAACAGGAUGUUUUGCUUUAGCAGCAGUGACAUAAAAUUCCAUGUUAAAUAAGCAUAUAUUACCUACCUUAUUAAAUAUUCCUUGAAAAAGCAGAUUUUAAUGGUUUAAUUUUAUGUGGACAUAUGUUAAAUUAUUCAGCAGUACCCUAUUGUUAAGCAUCUGGUUUUAAAAUUUUUAUGCUAAUAUAAAUAACGCUUAGUAAUUUAAAAUUUUGGAAGCAUCCCGUUAGUGUAAAUUUCUGAGUAAAUUUAUUGAUCAGUUGGACUUUUCACGCUUUUGAAAUAGCUUUGCUAAAAUGCUCCCCCUACAAAGUUGUAGGAAAUGGGAAGAGGAGUAAACUAGAGGCAAGGGAGUUGAGAGAGCUGGAAGGCAUGGUGGCUAAGGGCUACGGUUAUCAGGUGAAAUUUGAGAUUUGUAGGCUGACUAUAUUUUCAAGCUUCUGAACUUUUGCUUAUGCAAAAUAUUCAUCCCAAAGCCUCUAGCGUCAUAGUUUCCUCACCCAAAUUACUAUGUUUCCACAAGAUUUAUAUAGUUGGUCUAUCUCUGCGGUCCUUGAAAGUGAAGUUGGUGUUACUAGGCUGUGGGUUUUGGGGGCUCAGCAGUGACCUGGAGUGUGCAAAUAAAUGUUAAGUUGAAACCUC